rnacentral:lncRNA from 1 species
UAGAAGAUGGUUGUUAAUGCAUCACUAUCAUCAAGAAAUUAUUCAAUUAAAUAAUUUCAACGUGCAAAAAUUUCAAUUGAUGUAUGUGGUUAACAUUGUUCAUAUUGAUCGAAUAAAUCUUCACCUCAACUAAUUUAAACACACAUGAAAUCAUAGAUACCUUAAAUUAAAAAUUGUAUCAAGUAGUAUAUGAAAUCAUAGAACCUUACAAUGUAACUUUACAUAAAGGUGAAGCAAAUUUAGCGCAUUACAAUGUAACGUUAAAAAACUUCCUCUUCACGAAAGUUCUUCACCAAAGCUUAUUACAUGGUAGUAUCUUUGAAACAUGUUUAGGGCACAGCACAUUACUCAUCUUUUGCACAACAACAAAUGUGACCUUUGGAAGAUAGCCCUCCUCUAAACUUGCACAACAAUUACUUGCUGAACUUGCACACCGUGUUCAUCUCGGCGAGCUCAUAAAGUACUAGUAUGCGGGGGAAGAUAUAUGUUUGCUGAUGAUAAUGAUACUUAUGAGCACUCUGAUGAUGAAGAGAUAGAGGAACAUUUGGCGCAUCACAUAUUUCAAAGUACCACAUCAAAUCGCACUCUAUUGAUCCGCGAGACCUCUCACCACUCCUCCACCACUUUCCAAGGCAAAUCAGCUUAUCACAUGGUAGUAUCUUUGAAAUAUGUUUAGGGAACAUCACAUUACGUUUAUCAUCUGAAAUAGGAGAAAAUCAAUGCCAGUGUGAUGCAUUGUAAUGCCAGUGUGACCUUUGGAAGAUGAAGCUUUUACCCUAAGCAGAGCAAAGUAGGAACAUCAACACGUACCACAUCACACAUCAAAAAGGUAGUGUGAAUUAAUGUCAGCCCAAGCUCCACUUAAUUCCACUUUCCAAUGUGCUGGCACUACAACUCCAGUUUAGGGCACAACAUCCAGGUCUAACCAAAUGGACACAAGUCUUCCCUUUAGAUAAUAUACCAUUGGACCAUGAAUCUGAAAUAGGAGGAAAACAAUGCCAGGGGCACAAGUCUUCCCUUAAGACGAAAGAGGGGACAGGGGCAUGCCUUUUCCUACAUCUAUUUUCAGUGAAGCUAUGAUCAUCGGCUGGUGUUGAGGCAACUUCUCUGCAAAGCAUCAUCGACUUGUAGAGCUUCACGCGUGUUGGAUAGGAUUCCUUGAAGGAGUUUGUACGUUGGACCAACGGGAAGUUGAUGAAAGAGUGGGACGAAAAUGUGACUCAUGUUAUUGUGGGCAAAGGUCCUGGUAGCUCAUGGUAGCUCAUGGAACAGAUCAUUUGAAGUCCUCAUGGCAGUACUACUUGGGAAAUGGGUUAUCCAUUUUGAUUGCGUAAGCCCAAUAGAGGUUGAUUACCGAAUAUGUCCACAAUGAUGCUUUCUACAGCUACCGGCAUCAAGGUUUGCAAUGGAUUUUUGCUAACUUCAAAGCUAGGAGGAAUGUUAUUCUUGCUGGAAUGUUAUUCUUGUUUCAAUUAAGUAGAAAACGAAAAACAUGAUAGUAGACAACACAAAUUUUGUAAGGAUAAGACAACACAAAUUUUGUAAGGAUAAGACUUGCUGAGCUUGCACACCGUGUUCAUCUCGGCGAGCUCAUGAAGUCCUAGAGUACGGGGGAAGAUAUGUGUUUGCAGAUGAUAAUGAUACUUAUGAGCACUCUGAUGAUGAAGAGAUAGAGGAACAUUUGGCUCGUCAACGUAUUUCAAUGUACCACGUCAAAAUCGCACUCUGUUGAUCCGCGAGACCACUCACCAACUCCUCCAUCACUUUCCAAGGCAAAUCAGCUUAUCACAUGGUAGUGUCUUUGAAACAUGUUUAGGGCACAUCACAUUAUGUUUAUCAUCUAAAAUAGAAGGAAAUCAAUGCCAGUGUGAUGCAUUGUAAUGCCAGUGUGACCUUUAGAAUAUGAAGCUUUUACCCCAAGCAGAGCAAAGCAGGAACAUCAACACGUACCACAUCACACAUCAAAAAGGUAGUAUCUUUGAAACAUGUUUAGGGCACAACACAUUACGUUUAUCAUCUUUUGCACAACAACAAAUGUGA